AUGUUUCGUCCCAGAGCUCUCCCCAUGGCGAUGCUCUCCUCUGGUGUGGCGUCAUCGAGCUCGUGGGUGGUGGUGGUUGUGGUGGUUGGCCGGCAGGUGGUCGUCUGCCUGUCCAACGUGCUCCUGGUGGUGGCGGCUUAUGGUGAGGUCACCGUUGCCGAAGGAUUUUGGUCGCUCGUUUCUUCUCCAUCCAAUAAAUCUUUUCUUGAUGUUGAUUUGUUUGGGAAUGGGCGGCGUGUACCUCCUGCUGAUCUGUGGAUCGAGCGGUGUCUCGACCUUCCCCUCCAGUGGUGGCAGCGUCGGAUGGAGAAGUGA
rnacentral:rRNA from 1 species